rnacentral:lncRNA from 9 species
GAGGAGCUCCGUCCGUGCCUCAUCCCGCCCCCGCCCCAGCCCCAGCCCUCGACUCCCAGCCCCUGUCCAGUCAGGUGAGGCGCCCAGAGUACCUCGUGAGCAGCACCAUCGCCUUGCUGACAGUGACUUGUGUGUCCCCCAGGAACUCACGACGACGAUGUUGUGGAGCCGGUGGGAGUGAGAAGACUGAGGCAAGCCCCGGCUGGGGACAUGAGGACGAGGCGGCCCCAGUACCUGAGGUGGAGGUGGAGGAGGAGGCGGGCCAGCCCCGUGAAAAUGGCCAGGAGGAGUCCUUAGCCAUCGCCUGGGCUGAGCCGGAAGACGAGCCUGGCCCCAAGGUAAGCUCACCUUUCUUGAUGUGAGUUGGAAAAGGUGCCUCCUUUCUUCUUGGAUGUACCUCCUUCAGAAUGGAAAUCUGAGAAAGUCCACUGUAGAUGAUAUAUGCAGAUUGCUGUGCGGAGGACUGUUGAGUCCAAGUUUGGUACCAAGCAGUAGCUCCUUCCCAGGGGCAUUUGCAAAAGGGACCGCAUCAGUUCCCAAGUGUGCAGUAGGGAGCAUAUGUCUUUGAAGAAGCCGGAAUGUUGUUUUGUCUUGUUUGUCUUUUUUUGCCUUUUCUAGGGCCCCUCCCGCGGCAUAUGGAGAUGAGGUUCCCAGGCUAGGGGUCUGAUCGGAGCUGUAGCCACCGGCCUACGCCAGAGCCACAGCAACGUGGGAUCCGAGCCUCGUCUGCCACCUACACCACAGCUCAGGGCAGCGCCGGAUACUUCACCCACUGAGCAAGGCCAGGGAUCGAACCCGCAACCUCAUGGUUCUUGGUCCGAUUCGUUAACCACUGUGCCACGAUGGGAAGGCCAAAGAAGCCUGAAUGUUUGUUAAAUGUACGAGGACUUGGGAGAUCUUCCAUGAAAAGCUGGCGCCUUUUCCAAAGGGGUCUUCGCCGUGUUCUUUUGGGGAAACGGACUCAACGCUGCCUUCUGUCUGCGUGCCUGCGGUCCCCAACGGCAGGAAGACCUGUGGCCGCAGUGCAGAGGAUGCUGUGACACUCACCGUGUUUUCUCUUGUCUCAUCACAGGUGGACGGGGCGGACGAUGAAAUCUCUUGGAGCUUGGAGAGUGUGUGUGAGAGCGACCUCGCUGACAGCACCUCGCAGAAAGUGAUCGAGGUAAGAACAGCUCUCAG